UGAUUCAACAGCACUAUAAUUAAGAAUCCAUUUUGUGAAAAUCGACCGAGUUGAUUACGUGACGAAAAGCAAAACCAUACAUGAGUCGAAUUACGGUGCGAAAAUUCCGAGUAAAUAUAAAAUAUUAACAUUUUAAAAGAAAUAAAAUCAUUUUAUCUAUAAGAUAAAAUACUAGAUACUAUAUCGACAAUGAAAAGAAUGGAUCUAUCAAAAUAAGUGAAAGAAUUUUAAAUAUAAAUAAUUUAUAUAGAAUUAAAUGUAUAUGUUUGAAAUGAAUUUACUGCAACUGCUUUGGAUCGGUGGACUCUCUUCUGGAAAUAUCCAUAUAAUCAAAUUUGAUAUACCAAUAUGGAGUUUAUGUAAUUAACUCGCCAAUUCGUUACACAAAUGUCAGCUUUUACAUUUUACUAAACUAUAAAAGCCUCAAGGCAAUGAUGUGGACUGACAAUUUUAAUUCAGAAAAGAUGCAGUUAACAUCGUUUGGCUAUUUCCUGGCUGUUGCCAUUUUAGCUUUUGGCUUGCAGCCAGCUGAAUGUGGGAGAAAACUGACAACUAUGAAACCCAUCAAAAAACCCACAUUGAGGCCUGACUUUUGGGAUUAGUCCUGACAACUCGACAACGCAUCAAAAAACCGUAAAAAAAUAUUGUAAUUUUGUGAACCUUUCGAAUUUGUUUGCAUAUAAUAAAAUUAAACAAAAAUUGCUUUAGUAAUUCGCUCCAGUUCUAAAAAACAGUUUAUCUGCUCUAUAAGCGAAUGUAAUACAAUUCCAUAUAAUCAAAUUUGAUAUACCAAUAAGGAGUUUAUGUAAUUAACUCGCCAAUUCGUAACACAAAUACCAGCUUUUACAUUUUGCUAAACUAUAAAAGCCUCAAGACAAUGAUGUGGACUGACAAUUUUAAUUCAGAAAAGAUGCAGUUAACAUCGUUUGGCUAUUUCCUGGCUGUUGCCAUUUUAGCUUUUGGCUUGCAGCCAGCUGAAUGUGGGAGAAAACUGACAACUAUGAGGCCCAUCAAAGGACCCACAUUGAGGCCUGACUUUUGGGAUUAGUCCUGACAACUCGACAACCCAUCAACUGUAACAAAAAUGUUGUAAUUUUGUGAACCUUUCGAAUUUGUUUGCAUAUAAUAAAAUUAAACAAAAAUUGCUUUAGUAAUUCGCUCCAGUUCUAAAAAACAGUUUAUCUGCUCUAUAAGCGCAUAUAAUACAAUUUGCCAAUAAAUUGUUGAUUUAUUUUGCUAUUUCGUUACGGAAAUAUGUGGAUUUGUUUUUACAUUUAGGAAAAUGUUAAUCUGUAAUACGAAACAGUAUCAAAUCAGAGAAAAUGAAAUUCACAUCGUUUAUUUAUCUCGCAGCAGCAGUAAUUUUUGCCAUCGGCUUAAAACCAGCCGAGUGUCAAGAAAUAAUGUCUGACAUAAAUCCACGUUCCAGAGGAUCAAAUUAUGAAUAUGAUGACUAAGAAUAAAUAAUGCAAAUGUGCUAAUCUUUAAACAUUA